rnacentral:rRNA from 1 species
CCUGGCUCAGGAUGAACGCUAGCGGCAGGCUUAACACAUGCAAGUCGAGGGGCAUCGGGAGUAGCAAUACUGCCGGCGACCGGCGCAAGGGUGCGUAACGCGUGAGCAACAUGCCCGUAUCAGGGGGAUAAUCCAUGGAAACGUGGUCUAAUACCCCAUAGUAAUUAUGUAAGGCAUCUUAUAUAAUUUAAAGCUUUGGUGGAUACGGAUUGGCUCGCGUGACAUUAGCUAGAUGGUAAGGUAACGGCUUACCAUGGCUACGAUGUCUAGGGGUUCUGAGAGGAAGGUCCCCCACACUGGAACUGAGACACGGUCCAGACUCCUACGGGAGGCAGCAGUGAGGAAUAUUGGACAAUGGAUGGAAAUCUGAUCCAGCCAUGCCGCGUGCCAGGAAGACGGCCCUAUGGGUUGUAAACUGCUUUUGUAUGGGAGCAAUAAGGGCUACGCGUAGUCCGAUGAGAGUACCAUACGAAUAAGCACCGGCUAACUCCGUGCCAGCCGCCGC